CUGUUGAGAAUAUGGCGGCUGAUCUCGUGACCUGUUGUUUACGCUGACGUAGCUCCGCCCCGGACUGUCCGCGUGCUGCUGGUUGCGAGCUCAGUCAGUGAGAGAGGAUCCUCGCGACCACGUCGAUCUUAACGGCUGUCUUUGACGUUGAAACGGUCACAGGCUGCUGGAUUAAACCGGUAACCUGAGCAGAUUCCGGCGUUAACAAUACACGGUGGAUUGUCCUAUGAUGGAGGAGCUACAUGAUGUCCAGCUCACUGAGAUCAAACCACUGCUGACAGGACAGAAUGGGAGGAAUCUCCAGGAUUUCGAUUGUCAGGAUGUCUGACUCUCUGGAUCUGCACCAGAUCUUCUGUUCUUUAGAAGUUGGGGUGGUGAGUCAGCUGCUCAUUAGCUCCUCUGGAGUCAUGCUUCACCAGCUGAUACCUUACAGCUGCUGAGCCAGUUUGCUUCGUAGCCUGCUCUCUGCUUUUAGUUGCCUCGAGUUAGCUGGAGAGGAGUCGGCUGCUUUUCCAUGCUGUGAUAUUAAUCUGUUAAAAUGUUACUUACAACACGUCCGUCUAUGUACAGCGCUAUCGUGUCUGAGGACUGUUCUUCAUGACUGUGGCUGCAUGUUUGGGCUCACUGUCACUGCUCUGAUGGUACUGCAUGAGUAACAGCAUUGAGACCACUAAUUCUGAUUGCAGGGAAUUCACUUCCUGCCUCAGACGGUUCAGAGGUCGCCGAAGUGGACCUCAGAACCGUGUGAGGUCCACUUGAAUAAAGCGUGCUGUCAAAGCAGAGACUCAGCCGUUGCAUUGGAAAACUGUGAAAACUAAUUUUUGAGUUCAGUUCAGUAUAGAGGCUUCAUAAUGUGUUUUCUUAUUCUUUUAAGAUACACUGUUUCCCCAAAGUCAGGAACAGCUGUAACACUUUAGCUAAAGCACUUUGUUUUAAACAUGCUUGGAGCUUCACUCUGCUGCCUGCAGACUUUCAUCCUACAAACUUCUGCUAGAGGAAGUAUCACAGUUUGACUCACCAAUCCAGAGAAAAGCUCUCACACUUUCAUACAAAGGUGAAUCCCUCCACUUGUUUUCCACAUCACAGGUCCUGAGCCCGUCUGACCGCACUCCUGAAUAAAGAAAUGAGACUCAUCAAAGAAACUGACUUUUCAAGCAUCCUCGUGUUUACGUGCACUGAACCUCACACACGGGCUUGUACUCAGCCUGGUUUCACACAGGAAGUUUCAGAAGAGUCGUCCUGGGAUCUUUUCCACAGUUUUCCUCUCUCACAUGAAGCACGCAGCAGGAAAUGACCUGCUUUAGACACGAUUCUGAAUUGAUACUGAUAGUACCUUAAAUCAUUUGUACAGAAGUCCACGUACUAUGGACUUGCCAGUGAUCACGAUUAUUUAACGAGGUUUCUCAAAGACUGGAAAAAAUUGAGAGUACAUCAAAAUAGAAAUCUGUGUUUUAAUUAAGUGGAUUUGCUUGAAUUUUAAUUACAGUUGAACUGGAAAAGCUAAAUAAGUAAAUCUGUGUGUACUGAAGCAGUUAUUCCACAGCCUGGAGGGGGGAGAGUUUGGACUUUUCUGGAAAAAGUAAAAGAAAAAUGUGCUGAAACAAACUUCUGUUCUUGUUCUAAUAUUAAUUGGAACCCAAAAUUGUAACUGAAAUUAAAAAUUGAUCAUUUUGUUCAUGCAGACUUUUUAAAAUAGAACUGAAGACCUGGUGUUACAGAGGUGUGAAAAUGGCGUAGUCACGUGUCACAUGAUGUUGUUUAUUAGCACGUUUAUAGUAUAUUUACUUAGUGAGGUGCUCUUCUGUGUGUCCGCUGACUCUGUGCUUUGAGUAAAAGCAUACGAAUGCUCUCACUGUGCCGCAGAUCCAAACAUGUAAAACUGUGUGUGCAUGUGAGUAAGUAUGAACUUCAGAUCCAUUAAUGGGAUCUGUCAGGUGGUUCCAUGAGUCAGUAAUGAGAUUACAGCACCCAUGAAUCCAUUCACGGGUCUGUGCGCCUGCCUGUGUUUCCAUCUGUUACCAGAUGAAUGUGGAUGAUUUCCUACACAGCCUGUGACAGGCUGAGAGUCGCCACGCGUUCGUGUGGCGUGGUUCCUGAUCACAUGAACAUGAAUGAUCUGUUCAGAGCUGCUGACACUUGUUCACUGUCUUAAAAUGACUCCAGAUAUUAGA